rnacentral:rRNA from 1 species
UAGGGAAUAUUGGACAAUGGGGGCAACCCUGAUCCAGCCAUGCCGCGUGAGUGAAGAAGGCCCUCGGGUUGUAAAGCUCUUUUGUCCGGAAAGAAAAGCUUCGGGUUAAUACCCCGGGGUUCUGACGGUACCGGAGGAAUAAGCACCGGCUAACUUCGUGCCAGCAGCCGCGGUAAUACGAAGGGUGCAAGCGUUACUCGGAAUUACUGGGCGUAAAGCGUGCGUAGGUGGUUGUUUAAGUCUGAUGUGAAAGCCCUGGGCUCAACCUGGGAAUGGCAUUGGAAACUGGGCAGCUAGAGUGCGGUAGAGGGUAGUGGAAUUCCCGGUGUAGCAGUGAAAUGCGUAGAGAGCGGGAGGAACAUCUGUGGCGAAGGCGACUGCCUGGACCAGCACUGACACUGAGGCACGAAAGCGUGGGGAGCAAACA